rnacentral:lncRNA from 1 species
GGGCACUAGGGGGAGCCAGGAUCUGGCCCGGCCUGGGAAGCGCUGGGGCUGCCGCAGGCCCGCCUUGCGGCCUGGCCUCGAGCAGGAUCACUUCCAGAGUUCAUCUCGCUUUUCCAGGACGAAGGGGAGAUCUUCCCCCCGUUUUGUAGAAGCUAAGGAAACCAGAUGUUUUUGAAGACUAAGGAAACCAAAGUCCUCUCGCCCUGCUCCUCUCCGCUUCUUGGUGUUCUGCGUGUUGCCAAACUCCAGCUGCUUUUCCUCUCCCACAGUGAGAAUACACGCUCUAAAUAUAUACCCUCUGAUAUAUACCCUCUGUAUAUAUACCCUUGAUAUACCCUCUAAACGACCUGCCUGUGACAGAAAGUACAGUCUGUUCUCACACAUUAUUACAUAUCAGCAAAAAUUACGAGACCUUACAGAUGUCCCAAAUGCAGGGGAAACUUCAGUCAAAGAUUGCACCUUCUCAGAGUGGUGUUGACUUGUCUAGUUCGUCUCAUACUGAGCACCCUCAAUCAGAACCACAGCUUUACCAAACAAGUCAAGUGGACUGGGGAUGCCAAGUGAAACAACCCCAGGGGAGAAACCCAGAGAUUCAGCGAAGGGAAUGGUAAGAGUAUCUCGAAUUUGUGUGUGUCCUCAGCAACCCGUUCAUUAGAUCAGAUACAGUACUACAGCGCUACCAGAUGUCAAAAGGAGAAGAAAUAAUGUGCGAUUGUGAAGUAGCUGGAAGUUAGAUACAAAUUCUGAGUGCAACAGGUGGAUGAGGAAACUGUUGAAAUGUAUACAUAUAUCUCUAAUGUGUAUGUAGCCACUUUUUGAGUUCUUCAGAAAAUCGUAACAACAACUACAAAAAAGCCCUUCAGAAGGGCCCAGACAGACUUCUACAGUUAACAAAAUGGAUGAGGGAUCUUGUACAGCCAACACAAUGUCAAUAUGAAUGAUGUAAAACGAUGCAAAAAAAUACUGUACUGUGCAUGGUAAAUCAUAUAAUAAGGGAAGCAGUAAAGAGUAAUAUGUCCUAAAGCAUGGCUUCAGUAAAUGAAAACUGAAAUAGGAAAUGCUCCAGAGAGUUAGUAAAAAAAGCAAUGGAAAGCAAAGAUAUGUAAUAAAAGAAAGCUAAAACUGAAUUAC